UACGUAGGGUGCGAGCGUUGUCCGGAAUUAUUGGGCGUAAAGAGCUCGUAGGCGGUUUGUCACGUCUGCUGUGAAAUCCCGAGGCUCAACCUCGGGCCUGCAGUGGGUACGGGCAGACUGGAGUGCGGUAGGGGAGACUGGAAUUCCUGGUGUAGCGGUGAAAUGCGCAGAUAUCAGGAGGAACACCGAUGGCGAAGGCAGGUCUCUGGGCAUUAACUGACGCUGAGGAGCGAAAGCAUGGGGAGCGAACAGG
rnacentral:rRNA from 1 species